GAUUAACGCUAGCGGCAGGCCUAAUACAUGCAAGUUGAACGGGAUUUCGGGUAGCAAUAUCUGAAUGAGAGUGGCGCACGGGUGCGUAACACGUAUGCAAUCUGCCUCUGACUGGGGAAUAGCCUUCCGAAAGGAAGAUUAAUACCGCAUAACAUAAUAGAGUGGCAUCACUUUAUUAUCAAAACUCCGGUGGUCAGAGAUGAGCAUGCGUCCGAUUAGCUAGUUGGUGAGGUAAUGGCUCACCAAGGCUACGAUCGGUAGGGGGUCUGAGAGGAUGAUCCCCCACACUGGUACUGAGACACGGACCAGACUCCUACGGGAGGCAGCAGUAAGGAAUAUUGGACAAUGGUGGCAACACUGAUCCAGCCAUGCCGCGUGAAGGAUGAAUGCCCUUUGGGUUGUAAACUUCUUUUAAACGGGAAAAAACCCCACUACGUGUAGUGGGCUGAUGGUACCGUAAGAAUAAGGAUCGGCUAACUUCGUGCCAGCCGCCGCAGUAAGAC
rnacentral:rRNA from 1 species